CAGACACUUGGAGAGGCAGUAGGAUGGUGACGUCUGCUGCCUCUCGGAGUGACAGGAUCAUGAGAACUGACUCGGUCACCUCAGGUAUGGAACGAAUCCCACUACAUUUCUUUGUGAUCUCUGGUAUCCAGUAGUCACCUCUGGGUCCGGGAACAGAGUGGUUAAGAGCAAAGGAAUGUGGCCAGAUGUUUAGAUGUGUUCCCUUUGUUCCACUCUGAGAGUCCCACGGCGCAGGAACUCCUCUUCAAAGCCUGUCCGCACACCAGCUUUCAAGGAGUAGGCAGGGCGGCACUUUAUCCUGUGCUGGUAGAAUAACCGAAUCCGACUCACUGGGCAGGAACCAGUCCCAGGCCAGCUCUGCAGGCAGAACCGGAACAACAGGGCCUCAUCUCCUUGCUGAUUUGGAA
rnacentral:lncRNA from 1 species